CACUACCAAACAUUACCAUAUUUCAAUCUCAUUUACCUCGUCUCAAGAUUCGUUUUUUGUACGUACAUGCGGGAUUGACGAAUAUCAAAUGAAGUCGAAUAAAAAAAAGAAAAAAGAAAUAGAGGGAAAUAAACAAGACACGUACGGCAAAAUAAUGACGCAAUUUCGCCUGAAUAGUUUUGACAGCAGCCGGAAUGCAGCCAGCCUUCUGACGGUUGCCAGAAUUCCUCACAAGCGGGUUUAUUUUAUCGCAUUGAAUGAAAUUUCAUUCAAAAUGUGGCUGACGUUUUCUUUCAGUGUUAUUUGUGAUGUUUUUCCAUUUCAAUCAUUUUCUAUAAUAUAAUCUGCCAACUCUUAUAUUCAUGGAAAAUUGCAUGGAUUGCAUCAGUUUAAAUCAGAGUUGAAUACGGUUGGAGUGAAAAUAUCAAAAAAAAAAAUUUAAAAUUAGGGUUUCGUUAUUUUCAAAUAUUUGUUUUGUGAAUGAUGAAUCACACUAUGAAUAUUCUCGAUACUACUAUUGCCGGAUCGACGGAAAUGGAUGAUUUUAUACCGCGGGACUAUCAGCGGCAAAUGAAGGAGAUCUGUUUAAGAAAAAAUACGAUCAUUUAUCUUCCCACUGGAGCCGGAAAAACUCACGUCGCUCUUAUGGUUAUAAAAGCUAUGGCCUUAGCUUAGAAGAAAUUCUUAGUCGCAAAAUUUGAAGAUUUUAUGAAAACUAUGCAAUAGUUUCAAUUCAUUUUUGAAUUUUUCUAAUGGUGUGAGAUGCUGAUGUAGUUGAUUGGUAACUGCUUUCGUAUCAAAUUUCCGGUGCAUACAAUUACUGGUUGUGCAAAUAAAAUAAUAUAACAUA